CCUACGGGUGGCUGCAGUAGGGAAUAUUGCUCAAUGGGGGCAACCCUGAAGCAGCAACGCCGCGUGAGGGAUGAAGGUUUUCUGAUUGUAAACUCCUUUUGUUAGAGAAGAUAAUGACGGUAUCUAACGAAUAAGCACCGUCUAACUCCGUGCCACCAGCCCGGGUAAUACGGGGGGUGCAACCGUUAAACGGAAUCACCGGGCGUAAACAGGGCGUAGGCGGGAUAGCAAGUGCGAUGGUAAAUCCUAGGGGUUAAACAUAGAAAUGCAGUUGAAACUGGUUUUCUAGAGUAUGGGUGAGGUAGGUGGAAUUCGUGGUGUAGGGGUAAAAUGCAUAGAGAUCAAGCAGAAUACCGAUUGCGAAGGCAGCAUGCCAGAACACAACUGACGCUGAUGCGCGAAAGCGUGGGGAGCAAACAGGAUUAGAUACCCGGGUAGUC
rnacentral:rRNA from 1 species